AUGAACGCUGGCGGCGUGCCUAAUACAUGCAAGUCGAACGCACAGCGAAAGGUGCUUGCACCUUUCAAGUGAGUGGCGAACGGGUGAGUAACACGUGGACAACCUGCCUCAAGGCUGGGGAUAACAUUUGGAAACAGAUGCUAAUACCGAAUAAAACUUAGUGUCGCAUGACACAAAGUUAAAAGGCGCUUCGGCGUCACCUAGAGAUGGAUCCGCGGUGCAUUAGUUAGUUGGUGGGGUAAAGGCCUACCAAGACAAUGAUGCAUAGCCGAGUUGAGAGACUGAUCGGCCACAUUGGGACUGAGACACGGCCCAAACUCCUACGGGAGGCUGCAGUAGGGAAUCUUCCACAAUGGGCGAAAGCCUGAUGGAGCAACGCCGCGUGUGUGAUGAAGGCUUUCGGGUCGUAAAGCACUGUUGUAUGGGAAGAACAGCUAGAAUAGGAAAUGAUUUUAGUUUGACGGUACCAUACCAGAAAGGGACGGCUAAAUACGUGCCAGCAGCCGCGGUAAUACGUAUGUCCCGAGCGUUAUCCGGAUUUAUUGGGCGUAAAGCGAGCGCAGACGGUUUAUUAAGUCUGAUGUGAAAGCCCGGAGCUCAACUCCGGAAUGGCAUUGGAAACUGGUUAACUUGAGUGCAGUAGAGGUAAGUGGAACUCCAUGUGUAGCGGUGGAAUGCGUAGAUAUAUGGAAGAACACCAGUGGCGAAGGCGGCUUACUGGACUGCAACUGACGUUGAGGCUCGAAAGUGUGGGUAGCAAACAGGAUUAGAUACCCUGGUAGUCCACACCGUAAACGAUGAACACUAGGUGUUAGGAGGUUUCCGCCUCUUAGUGCCGAAGCUAACGCAUUAAGUGUUCCGCCUGGGGAGUACGACCGCAAGGUUGAAACUCAAAGGAAUUGACGGGGACCCGCACAAGCGGUGGAGCAUGUGGUUUAAUUCGAAGCAACGCGAAGAACCUUACCAGGUCUUGACAUCCUUUGAAGCUUUUAGAGAUAGAAGUGUUCUCUUCGGAGACAAAGUGACAGGUGGUGCAUGGUCGUCGUCAGCUCGUGUCGUGAGAUGUUGGGUUAAGUCCCGCAACGAGCGCAACCCUUAUUGUUAGUUGCCAGCAUUCAGAUGGGCACUCUAGCGAGACUGCCGGUGACAAACCGGAGGAAGGCGGGGACGACGUCAGAUCAUCAUGCCCCUUAUGACCUGGGCUACACACGUGCUACAAUGGCGUAUACAACGAGUUGCCAGCCCGCGAGGGUGAGCUAAUCUCUUAAAGUACGUCUCAGUUCGGAUUGUAGUCUGCAACUCGACUACAUGAAGUCGGAAUCGCUAGUAAUCGCGGAUCAGCACGCCGCGGUGAAUACGUUCCCGGGUCUUGUACACACCGCCCGUCACACCAUGGGAGUUUGUAAUGCCCAAAGCCGGUGGCCUAACCUUUUAGGAAGGAGCCGUCUAAGGCAGGACAGAUGA
rnacentral:rRNA from 1 species